UUUCCUGAGCUGAGAGCUGUUGUCGAUCAAGGAUUUGACAAUUCUGCAAACGUGGAUCUUGCUCUGGAAUACCUUGGAAAAAGUCAUGGAAUACAGAGGACAAGAGACCUAGCAAGAAAGCAUGCUAAUCUUGCUUCUGCUGCAAUUGAUUCCCUUCCUCGAAAUGAUGACGAGGAUGUUCAAAUAUCAAGGCGGGCACUUGUAGAAUUAACUCAAAGAGUUAUCACUAGAACAAAGUGAAGAUAAAAGGCUAGAUCCCAGGUUCAAACUUACUCGACAGCUAGCAAAAUUUGUUCUGUUUCUUUCGGCAGUGUUUCUGGAUCAUGGGGACAACAUUCCCAAAUUUAGUUCAUUCAUUCUUGAACUGAUAAUAAUUCUGCAUACGAAUGCUAUUUUGCACGUAAUCAUUUAAUGGGAACUCGAAGUAGAAUAAGUACCUGUUAUUAUAACUAAAUUUUGCGGUCGGA